rnacentral:rRNA from 1 species
ACAGGACUGCUGGUAUUAAGCCGGAGGAAGGUGGGACGACGUCAAGUCAGCAUGACCUUUAUAUCCAGGGCUACACACACGCUACAAUGGUCAGUACAAUGGGUUGCCAAGCCGCGAGGCGGAGCCAAUCCUAAAAAGCUGGCUCAGUUCAGAUUGCAGUCUGAAACUCGACUGCAUGAAGUCGGAGUUGCUAGUAAACGCAGGUCAGCUAUACUGCGUUGAAUACGUUCCCGGGGCUU